CUCGAGAUCAUCGAUGGCCUCUUGUGGGCUUUGCCACCGCCAGCCUCUUUGUGUCCUAGCCUGCGCGGUAAGCCUCCUGCCUCCAUGGGGUCAGCCCUGGUACAAGCGGUUCUGGAGGAGACAGUCGGCGCCAACGAUCUUCAGUUGCGCUUUUGCGACAGCCUGAACACGAGUAGACACACCCAGGCAACUGCACGAGGAGGGCGGACGCGUUGAACGCUGGCACUCUGUGGGUACGUGAGGUCCAUGCCGGCGGAUGGCGCUGGCACCAGAUAUACCGACAGGAUCUGGUUUGUGAACAGGGCGUUACCUGCUGGCACUUAGGUUGUGUGCACUUGCUGAUUGACAAGCACACGGGGUACAACAGCUGAAGCCGUGAGUUGUAUGGUACAUCUUGCUCUCAUUGUCCGGUUGGUUGGUAAGCCACUAGAUCUCCCCUAUACAUGAAACAAUCUUCCCAUAUGUUAAUAUAGGUUGCAAUUUUUUCGUAAAAAAUCUUCUAUGCAUCAUGGCAUUGCACCAUGAGUGAGGGUACAUUUAGGCUACUAAACUGAAAAUGACAUAUUUAGUAGUUACUUCAAUACAUGGGAUCUCAUGGUGAAGAAAGUAGCUUGACUAUAUUUGUUUGUUCAUCAUCUUCUAUUAGCUCAAAUUUUUUACUGGCACAAGAUUUGCUGGUCUGCCAUGUUUUCCCUUAAUAUCAACAGUAUUUUUAUUCUUAAUUUUCAUUGUAUCCUCUAAUGAAUGUUGCUGAUGUUGUAGGUUGGGGUGCAUCAAUAUGAGCUAUAUUCUAGGCAAUCUUAUAAGUGCGAAAUUAUGAUGUGGUUUGCAAGUAUCUGGGAGUCAGAAACUCAGAUAAUGAUGCAGUCUAUGAACUUGAUUUUGUCGUGAUAGAUUGCCAGUUGUUUAGUGCAGUUUAAAAUGCAGCAAUUCAGGAAUCACCUGAAUCAAUUCAGACCACUGCUGAAGAUGUCCUUGAACUGCCACUCCUUCCACCUGAAGAUGUUGCCACUCCUUCCAAGCACAAACUUUCAGACCAGAGCACACACAACAAUCCACCAGAAGAUGUCGCCCCACUCCUCGAACUGCCACCACACGCGCCCAAUCGUCGGCCUUGAGCGAAGCCGCCGAAAAUCGAUCUACUCAGUAAGAAGGAUCCAUCCAUCAUGUUAAUUCAAGCUCGCGAGCUACAAGGUUGAAUUACUGUAAGUUUUGCAUGCUAUUGAUUGGCAGGAAGUGACUCUCUGCUCUCAUGGCCAACAAGGGUGAAGAUCCUCAGGGACUGUGCAUCUGUCCUGAGGUUUCUUCACACACACUCCGAUGGAUGCAUUGUACAUAGAGACAUUAUGCUUACCAACAUCUUGCUGACAGAGGACAUGGAGCCUAAGCUGUCUGAUUUUGGGCUAGCAAAAACGCUGCAAAUGGAGGAGACCAAGGUCUUCACAGAUGUGGGGGGAACCAUUGGUUACAUGGAUCCUGAGUACAUUAACACACUCCAAGCUUACUUGCGCGCAAGUGAUAUCUACAGCUUUGGCGUGGUUGUGCUGCAGCUUCUGUCAGGAAGAAAGGUCAUCGAACUUGACAUUGUUCCACGCGAUUCUCUCACCAAGAAGGUAAAUUCAGGCAUAUAUUUUUCAGAAUCAUAUCCCUGUUACACUGAGCAGGAACUCGGCAAGUCAAUUUCAGAGUUAUUCUCACCAUUGUUACCUGAAGUUUUUGAUGCACCUAAUUUGGUCUCGGUUCUUGUCUCAAGGCCAAAGAUGCAUCGCCCCUCGGCCUCUCCCCGGAGGCAGAGCUCGCGCCGCCGGCUUGUCCCUAUCCUCGAACGCCCUGUAGAAAUCUAGGAUGAUGAAGAAGAAAUUGGGUGGACAUGGCCCGAACAAUCGAAGAAGAUAAAAGAAGAAAUUGCAUGGGCGCAGUAGAUCGAAGGGAGGAGAAGGGGAAAAAGGAGACCUCUGACUCCGGCGGGCUACUUGGUGAGCUCCUCCACCUGCCUCUUUGCAAUCCGCCGAGCAGCCGCCGCGCCAGGAAUGCGAGAAAGGAGGGCGCCCCACUGCCGUGCCCUGGCGAGGUAAACACAUGGCCGUCGGACAGGAGCGGCGGGAGGAUCGACAAAAAAAAAACGCGUGCUUCACGUUGGGGAACGAAGCGGGGAACGAUGCGGCGUGGGGCGUGAGGCGGGAGGGGUGGUGCCACAGCGGGGGCGGCGUGGGGCGGGAGGAGCGGUGGCGGAGAGGGGCGGCGGGGGGCGGCAAGGCGGCACCCGUCGUCGGGUUCGGCCGGGAGGGAGUGAGAGCGAGAGCGAGGAAGAAGAGGGACCUCGGGUUCGGUCGGGAAAACAUGGAGGACUAAAUUGCAAAUAUCCACUUGCGACAUGUUUUUCGGGACGGAGGGAGUACAACACAGACACUGACAUUUUUAGUGUUAGCAUUACUGUUAUCAUAUAUUUCACAUGCACCAGCUUUUUAUUAUGUCAGACGAGACAAAAAAUACAGUUUUUUCCUCCGUGUAAAUUGGAUGUUCAGUGCAUUAUCAUAUUCAGGAUGUCCCCUAUUUUUCUUAUAAUUCAAUUGAUAUAAUAAGUAUUGGUUGCCUCGGUGAUGCUUUUUCCCCAAUUUACCUUAUAAAGGAUGCUGGGGUGCUAGGCGCAACCACCGGCUCCACGUAUACGCUAUGAAUAGUGUCGUGCGAGAGGAAAAAACAGCUAGCAGCUAGAUAAGAGAAUCUGGUCCGGCCAUUCUAUCUCGCUUAGUACUUGCUUUGAGCGUUUUACCUCGCUGUCAAACGUCCCGGCGUUAGUUCUUUUGUACGUUCUGUGCUUCGGUCGCAGAGGAUGACAGCUGGGCCAGCCUUUGCGCGCGGGCCCAUCCUGCGGUGAGAGCGUGGGUGCGUGCUUGCGAAGCGGUGAUCGUGGGUUGGCCAGAGGCAGCCAGAGGCGAUCGUGGGCUGCAGGCCGCUGUGGCAUUUUUUUUAUCGAGGUGCGUUUGACCCACCUGUGACCAUUCUGCUUCAGCCGAUGUGGUCCGAAAAAACAGCUAGCAGCGCGAGAUAAGAGAAUCUGGUCUGGCCAUUCUAUCUCGCUUAAUACUUGCUUUGAGCGUUUUACCUCGCUGUCAAACAUCCCGGUGUUAGUUCUUUUUCUACGUUUUGUGCUUCGGUCGCAGAGGAUGACAGCUGGGCCAGCCUUUGCGCGCGGGUCCAUCCUGCGGUGAGAGCGUGGGUGCGUGCUUGCGGAGCGGUGAUCGUGGGUUGGCCAGAGGCAGCCAGAGGCGAUCGUGGGCUGCAGGCCGCCGUGGCAUUUUUUUUUACCGAGGUGCGUUUGACCCACCUGUGACCAUUCUGCUUCAGCCGAUGUGGUCCCACAUCUCUGUCUCUUCAUAGCCGCGCGCUGCUCCCAUUGGUUGCCGCUGUGCCAGCACGCCUGUACUCGCUGGGUAAUAGGGUGCUCCGCCCUUUUCUUGUUCAUACGCGGGACUUCUCCAGUUGUUCUGCUGCAUGUGGCCCUUCGUGCGGCUGGGCCCAUUUGUCGGUCUCGUGCUCUCCUUUAUCUGGGUCACUCUAGGAGUUACAGCGCCCCUGUCCUGUUGAUGACCGAGGAGGCGCUUUUCUUUCAUCCUCAUCCUCCCCUCUGUCAGUGCCUCCCUCUCGAUUCACUCCACUCCGCUCGGUCUCGCCUGGGCGUCGUUGUUCGUCCUCCGCCGCCAUCGUUGGUUGCCGUCGCCGUGCUUGUCACUUCUUUGCUCAUGGCUCCUCGCGUGCCUGCCUCCGCGUUCGGUUAGGCCUCGCUGCGGCUGGUUUGCCGUGCGCCUCUUCACCUGUUCGUCCGUCCUUCUCAGGGUCUUUAUUAUUCGGAUAAUUGAUCUCCUGGCUCCAGCUCUGCAAAGGUUCUGUUGUGGUUCAUCUCAUUUGGCACAUCGGCUGCUCUACUUUGGCGUGCGGAGUACCAUGGCGUGUAUCUUUUCGUGCUUUUAGUUUCUCUGGUUGCGGUAUGCCUCCGCGCCGUGUUAUUCCUGCCCGGGCAGCUGUUCCUGCCAGACCGGCUGUUCCUUCAGCCCAUUCUCCUGUUGUGCACCGUGCUGUUCUCCCACGCCGUGCUGCUCGUGCUGCAGCUCUUUUGCCUCCUGUGUCGGCCACGCCUGCCGUUCCCCUUGUUGUUUGAAAGAGGAAACGUUCUUGUUGGACAGGCUCUGCUCCCACAACAAGAAUGCUCUCGCAGAGCAUACCCUAGCAUCUCCUCUGGAACCUGGUUGGGUUGGUUUUUCUCCUGACGAAGUCGAGAUCCUUAAAGAUUUCUACCCAAAGAGGUCAUACUACGGAGCUCCCGACUACCGAUGCAACCACUGCGGGGCUAGCUUUUGGUGGCGUGAGAGG